rnacentral:lncRNA from 1 species
GUUCCAUCAAUUGGUAUCAGAGCCAAGGUUCUUCAUUAUAUGAUUAUUUAUACAUGCUUAGAUUAUUUCUUAGAUUAGAUCUAAUUUAUAAUCUAAUUAUUAAAUCUGAAAUUAAAAUUUUAGAUCAAUCACGAACUGCAAGGUUGUCCUACUGUAAGGUUUACCCCUUACAGUGCAAAGGUUGUCCUAGUUCAUGUAGAUCUAUCUUUAAU